rnacentral:rRNA from 1 species
UACGUAGGGCGCGAGCGUUAAUCGGAAUUACUGGGCGUAAAGCGUGCGUAGCCGGUUAUGUAAGUCAGGUGUGAAAGCCCCGGGCUCAACCUGGGAAUGGCAUUUGAGACUGCAUAGCUAGGGUGCGGAAGAGGGAAGCGGAAUUUCCGGUGUAGCGGUGAAAUGCGUAGAUAUCGGAAGGAACAUCAGUGGCGAAAGCGGCUUCCUGGUCCAGCACCGACGUUCAGGCACGAAAGCGUGGGGAGCAAACAGG